UGGGGAAUAUUGGACAAUGGACCAAGAGUCUGAUCCAGCAAUUCUGUGUGCACGAUGAAGUUUUUCGGAAUGUAAAGUGCUUUCAGUUGGGAAGAAAGAAAUGACGGUACCAACAGAAGAAGUGACGGCUAAAUACGUGCCAGCAGCCGCGGUAAUACGUAUGUCACGAGCGUUAUCCGGAUUUAUUGGGCGUAAAGCGCGUCUAGGUGGUUAUGUAAGUCUGAUGUGAAAAUGCAGGGCUCAACUCUGUAUUGCGUUGGAAACUGUAUAACUAGAGUACUGGAGAGGUAAGCGGAACUACAAGUGUAGAGGUGAAAUUCGUAGAUAUUUGUAGGAAUGCCGAUGGGGAUGCCAGCUUACUGGACAGAUACUGACGCUAAAGCGCGAAAGCGUGGGUAGCAAACAGG
rnacentral:rRNA from 1 species